rnacentral:rRNA from 1 species
GUUGUAUGGUUAAGUGACUAAGCGUACACGGUGGAUGCCUUGGCAGUCAGAGGCGAUGAAAGACGUAGUAACUUGCGAUAAGCCCAGAUUAGGUAGUAACAACCAUUUGAGUCUGGGAUUUCUGAAUGGGGAAACCCACGUGCAUAAGCACGUAUCCUUACCUGAAUACAUAGGGUAAGGAGGCGAACCGGGGGAACUGAAACAUCUAAGUACCCCGAGGAAAAGAAAUCAACCGAGAUUCCGAAAGUAGCGGCGAGCGAAAUUGGACUAGCCCUUAAGCUUUACACGCGUUAGACGAACGGUCUGGAAAGUCCGACGAUACAGGGUGAUAGUCCCGUAGUUGACGACGUGUGUUCAGUGAAAUCGAGUAGGGCGGGACACGUGAUAUCCUGUCUGAAUAUGGGGGGACCAUCCUCCAAGGCUAAAUACUACUGACUGACCGAUAGUGAACCAGUACCGUGAGGGAAAGGCGAAAAGAACCCCUGUGAGGGGAGUGAAAUAGAACCUGAAACCGUGUACGUACAAGCAGUAGGAGCAGGCUUUGUCCUGUGACUGCGUACCUUUUGUAUAAUGGGUCAGCGACUUAUAUUCAGUGGCAAGGUUAACCAUCUAGGGGAGCCGUAGGGAAACCGAGUCUUAACUGGGCGUUCAGUCUCUGGAUAUAGACCCGAAACCAGGUGAUCUAGCCAUGGGCAGGUUGAAGGUUGAGUAACAUCAACUGGAGGACCGAACCGACUAAUGUUGAAAAAUUAGCGGAUGACUUGUGGCUAGGGGUGAAAGGCCAAUCAAACCUGGAGAUAGCUGGUUCUCCCCGAAAGCUAUUUAGGUAGCGCCUCGGACGAAUACUACUGGGGGUAGAGCACUGUUAAGGCUAGGGGGUCAUCCCGACUUACCAACCCUUUGCAAACUCCGAAUACCAGUAAGUACUAUCCGGGAGACACACGGCGGGUGCUAACGUCCGUCGUGGAGAGGGAAACAACCCAGACCGCCAGCUAAGGUCCCAAAUUACUACUAAGUGGGAAACGAUGUGGGAAGGCUCAGACAGCCAGGAUGUUGGCUUAGAAGCAGCCAUCAUUUAAAGAAAGCGUAAUAGCUCACUGGUCGAGUCGGCCUGCGCGGAAGAUGUAACGGGGCUAAGUAGUAAACCGAAGCUGCGGCAAUAUACUUUUGUAUAUUGGGUAGGGGAGCGUUCUGUAAGCGGUUGAAGGUGUGUGGUAACGCAUGCUGGACGUAUCAGAAGUGCGAAUGCUGACAUGAGUAACGAUAAAGGGGGUGAAAAACCUCCUCGCCGGAAGACCAAGGGUUCCUGUCCAACGUUAAUCGGGGCAGGGUAAGUCGACCCCUAAGGCGAGGCCGAAAGGCGUAGUCGAUGGGAAACGGGUUAAUAUUCCCGUACUUCUUACAAUUGCGAUGGGGGGACGGAGAAGGCUAGGUGGGCCUGGCGACGGUUGUCCAGGUUCAAGUGCGUAGGCUUAAGAGUUAGGUAAAUCCGGCUCUUUUUAAGGCUGAGACACGACGUCGAGCACCUAAGGGUGUGAAGUCAUUGAUGCCAUGCUUCCAGGAAAAGCCUCUAAGCUUCAGAUUGUAAGGAAUCGUACCCCAAACCGACACAGGUGGUCGGGUAGAGAAUACCAAGGCGCUUGAGAGAACUCGGGUGAAGGAACUAGGCAAAAUGGUACCGUAACUUCGGGAGAAGGUACGCUCUCGACGGUGAAGUCCCUCGCGGAUGGAGCUAUUGAGAGUCGCAGAUACCAGGUGGCUGCAACUGUUUAUUAAAAACACAGCACUGUGCAAAAUCGUAAGAUGACGUAUACGGUGUGACGCCUGCCCGGUGCCGGAAGGUUAAUUGAUGGGGUUAGACUUCGGUCGAAGCUCUUGAUCGAAGCCCCGGUAAACGGCGGCCGUAACUAUAACGGUCCUAAGGUAGCGAAAUUCCUUGUCGGGUAAGUUCCGACCUGCACGAAUGGCGUAAUGAUGGCCACGCUGUCUCCACCCGAGACUCAGUGAAAUUGAAAUCGCUGUGAAGAUGCAGUGUACCCGCGGCUAGACGGAAAGACCCCGUGAACCUUUACUACAGCUUGGCACUGAACAUUGACCCUACAUGUGUAGGAUAGGUGGGAGGCUUUGAAGCAGGUACGCCAGUAUCUGUGGAGCCGUCCUUGAAAUACCACCCUUGUAGUGUUGAUGUUCUAACGUCGACCCCUAAUCGGGGUUGCGGACAGUGCCUGGUGGGUAGUUUGACUGGGGCGGUCUCCUCCCAAAGAGUAACGGAGGAGCACGAAGGUGGGCUAAUCACGGUUGGACAUCGUGAGGUUAGUGCAAUGGCAUAAGCCCGCUUGACUGCGAGAAUGACAAUUCGAGCAGGUGCGAAAGCAGGUCAUAGUGAUCCGGUGGUUCUGAAUGGAAGGGCCAUCGCUCAACGGAUAAAAGGUACUCCGGGGAUAACAGGCUGAUACCGCCCAAGAGUUCAUAUCGACGGCGGUGUUUGGCACCUCGAUGUCGGCUCAUCACAUCCUGGGGCUGAAGUCGGUCCCAAGGGUAUGGCUGUUCGCCAUUUAAAGUGGUACGCGAGCUGGGUUUAGAACGUCGUGAGACAGUUCGGUCCCUAUCUGCCGUGGGCGUUGGAAGAUUGAAGGGGGCUGCUCCUAGUACGAGAGGACCGGAGUGGACGAACCUCUGGUGUUCGGGUUGUGUCGCCAGACGCAUUGCCCGGUAGCUAAGUUCGGAAUCGAUAACCGCUGAAAGCAUCUAAGCGGGAAGCGAGCCCUGAGAUGAGUCUUCCCUGAUACUUUAAGUAUCCUAAAGGGUUGUCGGAGACUACGACGUUGAUAGGUCAGGUGUGUAAGUGCUGUGAGGCAUUGAGCUAACUGAUACUAAUUGCCCGUGAGGCUUAACCAUACAACACCCAAGGGGUUU